GUGCUCACUUCAGCCGCACAUAUACUAAAAAAAUUAGAACGAUACAGAGAAGAUUAGCAUGGCCCCUGCGCAAGGAUGACACACAAAUUUGUGAAGCAUUCCAUAAAAAAAAUUUAU
rfam:Mus musculus chromosome X, GRC primary reference assembly.